GGAAAUCUCACCAGGCCCGGACAAUGGAAGGAUUGACAGAUUGAUACCUCUUUCUUGAUUCUGUGGGUGGUGGUGCAUGGCCAUUCUUAGUUGGUGGAGUGAUUUGUGGCUUAAUUUGACUCAACGCGGGAAAUCUCACCAGGCCCGGACACUGGAAGGAUUGACAGAUUGAUAGCUCUUUCUUGUUAGCAAUAA
rnacentral:rRNA from 1 species